rnacentral:lncRNA from 1 species
UUGACCUUGACUUGCUUAAACACUUCCAAAAUCUUCUCCAUUUGAGCCGAUUGCUUAGGUGAAAUAAGUCUUUGUGGGUAAGGGACUCUCGGUUUAUAGACUACUUCACUUUGCAACUCGGGUUCCGGGUUUGGGUCACUCGACUCUUCACGGGCUUUUGAACACUCGGGUUUGUCAUGAUUAAUGGUAGUAAUGGGUGGACUUGGAUUAGAAGUCGAAUCCCCUUUCUUACCAAGGUUCUCACCAACGUGGGUCUCUACUUGUUUACCCGACCUAAGAGAAAUGACCGAAUGCACAUUAGUCCGGGGG